UUGUAAGAUCCAUCCGUGUGGCCACCUGUAUACAACCAACCUUUGCUUCUAACUGCCACCUGCACUCUGGGGUGGGAUCGAACACUUCUACUGACCCCUUCUUCCAGGAAGGAACAUUGAUGCUGCCUCGAACCACCAUGGAUAUGAAUGAUGGCAUCUACCUAUGUCCCCUGAGAGGCCUGUGUGAGGGUUUCUUUGGGGCGUACCCCCAGAGCAGCAUUGACGGCCCCAGUGCCGAGUGACCCUGACUGGUUGCAUUGGGCCAUCUUCCACUGUGCGGUCAGGAGACCCCACCUCACCACACUGGGCUUCAGCCAGCUUCCAAAUGACACUGGUCUCAGUUCCUUCUCAGCCAACCACUUGAAGUGCCUAUGGUCCAGGACAUCAGAAGCCAAAAAGAAAAAAUUGCAGAAGAGCUUCUCUCCUAGGGAUGCCUGGGUGGCUCAGUCAGUUAAGCGUCUGACUUUGGCUCAGGUCAUGAUGUCACAGCCAAUUUGGAAGACAGAAGCAAAGGAGAGUCACAAAAGCCAGUUUUGUCACCCUGAGUCCUGCUAACUAGCUGACAGCCUCUGGCACUCGCUGAUCUGAGGAUGCAGAGGAGGCCACAGGAGUGCCCAGGAGCCUGAAGAUGGAACAGAGAAAAUGGAGAAACCAGAGUAUGCGGGGUAGAGCUUGAUCAAUAGUUAAGAUCCUGUUUUCUCAACUAUCAAUCUACCCCUCAUAAAAUCAGCGUCAUCAGUUAACACAAAACCCAGGGUGUGGCUUUCAGACCCAAAGUCCCUACUCUGAUCUGUGAGUAUCCACAUGAUUCGGCCCCUGCCUACUUCUAAUGACUUCAUCCCUUACCACAUCCCUGUGACUUGCUACACUUGACCCAUACGAACAGGUGCACUUCAAUCUUAGGAAGCUCACACCAGCAGUCCCUUGGUUUGGAACAUUCCUGCCCUACUCCUUCCUGCCCCUGCUAUUUUCUCAUAGCUGCUUCUUCCCUACCAUUGAGAUUUCAACUUAAAUGUCGUCUAUGCAUUGAGGACUCUGAGCAGAAAGUAAAGUAGGCUCUCAGUCACUUUA